GCGCGAAAACUUUACAAUGCGGGCAACCGUGAUAAGGAAACCCCGAGUGCCACCACAGGGUGGCUGUCCACCAGUGUAAAAAACUGGUGAAGAAAGGGCCGGGCAAGACCGGUGCCAGCCGCCGCGGUAAUACCGGCGGCUCGAGUGGUGGCCGCUUUUACUGGGCUUAAAGGGUCCGUAGCUUGAUUCACAAGUCCCUUGAGAAAUCCAUCGGCUUAACUGAUGGGCGUUCAGGGGAUACUGUGGUUCUAGGGACCGGGAGAGGUGAGAGGUACUGCCGGGGUAGGAGUGAAAUCCUGUAAUCCCGGUGGGACGACCUAUGGCGAAGGCAUCUCACCAGAACGGCUCCGACAGUGAGGGACGAAAGCUGGGGGAGCAAACCGG
rnacentral:rRNA from 1 species